GCCUUCCAAAGAAUGGAGGCUCUCUAGUUCACAACUGAUUAACAAGAGUACCAAACUGCCUAACACUAUAUAGGAGCAACAAAAAAGUACUUGAAACCUAAAUCAUGAAAUAAUGUGGCAUUUGAGAAUGGUCAGCGGGGAGAGAACUGGCAUGAAACCCAAUGGAAAGGGAUAAAAUAAUGCAUUUACCAAAAUCCAGUAAUAAACGAUAUGCACAAUAUUUAAACAUAUAUGUAUA
rnacentral:lncRNA from 1 species